UACGGAGGGGGCUAGCGUUUUUCGGAAUUACUGGGCGUAAAGCGCACGUAGGCGGAUCAGAAAGUCAGAGGUGAAAUCCCAGGGCUCAACCUUGGAACUGCCUUUGAAACUCCUGGUCUUGAGGUCGAGAGAGGUGAGUGGAAUUCCGAGUGUAGAGGUGAAAUUCGUAGAUAUUCGGAGGAACACCAGUGGCGAAGGCGGCUCACUGGCUCGAUACUGACGCUGAGGUGCGAAAGCGUGGGGAGCAAACAGG
rnacentral:rRNA from 1 species